UCCCAUAUGGUAUAGUGGUUAGUAUUCCUGGUUUUCACCUAUGCGGCCGUGGUUUGACUCCCGGCAUGGGAA